rnacentral:rRNA from 1 species
GACGAACGCUGGCGGCGUGCUUAACACAUGCAAGUCGAACGGAAAGGCCCCCACCUUGGUGGGGGUGCUCGAGCGGCGAACGGGUGAGUAACACGUGGGUGAUCUGCCCUGUACUUCGGGAUAAGCUUGGGAAACUGGGUCUAAUACCGGAUAGGACCAUGGUUUAGUGUCUCAUGGUGUAAAAAUUAUUGUUUUGGUGCAGGAUGAGCUCGCGGCCUAUCAGCUUGUUGGUGGGGUAAUGGCCUACCAAGGGGUCGACGGGUAGCCGGCCUGAGAGGGUGGACGGCCACAUUGGGACUGAGGGACGAGCCAGACUCCGACGGGAGGCGGCGGUGGGGAAUAUUGAACGAUGGGAGCAAGACUGAUGCAGCGACGCCGCGUGGGGGAUGACGGCCUUCGGGUUGUAAACGCUUUUCGUGAGGAACGAAGCCACACCUUUCUUGGGUGGGGUGACGGUACCUUUGUUAGGAAGCCCCGGCUAACUACGUG